rnacentral:rRNA from 1 species
CACCGCGGUUAUACGAGAGGCCCAAGCUGAUAGCCAUCGGCGUAAAGAGUGGUUAGGAAAAACAAGAACUAAAGCCGAACAGAUUUGAGGUUGUUAUACACGUACAAAUACCGGAAGCCCUAUCACGAAAGUAGCUUUACAAGAUCUGAACCCACGAAAGCCAGGGAA